CGGAUACUUGUCAAUUAUUUUUUAUUUUGUUUUUCUCUGUGUUGGGACGGCGGGACGGGCUGCAAGUGCCGAAACUUUUGAAGGAUUUCAGAGAUAAUUCAUCAUGGGAAACUUUAUGGGAAAGGCACUUGAUGAGAGCUUCAACAAGAACAAGAAAUUCAUGAUAGAGAUGCAGAGCAUUCAGCUGGAGCGUCAGAUCCACAUGCAGGACCAGAUGCGGCAGCGGAUGCAAGCGCUGCAGGUGGCGCGCGCCCGCGAGCUGUUCUACUGGUGGGCCGCCUUCUACACGGUCGGCCUGGUCGGCGCCGUCGCGGUGGCACGGCGGACCGGUCGGCGCACCGCCCUGUUCCCGUUCUUCCCGCUAACGUUCAUCGUCGGAUACCAGGCCGAUCUGGCAUACGGAAACAAACUGGAACGCAUCAGAGCGGAGGCGGAGCACAUUAUGCGCUCGGAGACGGAGCUGCUGGAACCGCCGUGCGGAGUGCCCACCACCUCCGGCAUUGACGCCGCUCGCCACAAGCUCAGCGACGAGCAGAGACUGAACCUCCGGCGGCCGCCCUGCCCUAUCUGCUGCUGACCUGGACUUGUCUCACAUCCUGACCGUCCUCGCGAAAUCCCUACACUUCGCACACCGAGUGGCCGACAAGGGCGAAUACAGUAGAAAGUGGUAUUUCGAAGUCAUUGUCUCUGAAAGCCGCUAUCUCUGAAACUUGAAAGGAGUCGACCUAGGUCCACACUGCACUAGCCGGCGGACUCCUGUCAGCUCGGGGAGGUCAGUUCAGAGCGGUUCCGGACCCCUCAGUGCCUCCAGUGCUGCCUACGAGGCUCUGCCGCCGUCUGAACCUCGGCGACUAAAUGCAAUACGAAUAGCAGGCAAGGUAGUUAACGGUGUCACCGUCGAGAUAAUCACAAACGUAUCUAGCUAGUAUGACGGGCUGUUCAAAGUGCGGGAUUUGCCGUUCGAUUGUGUUCUUUGCAUCUGCGGCCCCUGGCCUUUGGAAAGGAUGGUCACUGCCGAAUUACCUGACCGUUGUGAUGGGCCUGGCUGUUUGAGUGUACGGGAGGCUGAGCUCCUGAUCAGCGCUGGGGGCGCGGUCAAAGGUCGAAUUUGUGUUCUUCUUAGUAAAUGAGUGUAGUGAUUGCCACAAUCAUUACAGUGUCCCGGUGAUUACGAUAUGGGACUGUAUGAUUGUUAUGUGCCUCCAUACAAUACAUGAGUCGCUCUCA
rnacentral:misc_RNA from 1 species